AUUGAACGCUGGCGGCAGGCCUAACACAUGCAAGUCGAGCGUGAAAGGGCUUCGGCCUGAGUAAAGCGGCGGACGGGUGAGUAACGCGUAGGAAUCUACCUGGUAGUGGGGGAUAACGUUCCGAAAGGGACGCUAAUACCGCAUACGUUCCGAGGAAGAAAGCGGGGGAUCGCAAGACCUCGCGCUAUCAGAUGAGCCUGCGUCCGAUUAGCUAGUUGGUGGGGUAAAGGCCUACCAAGGCGACGAUCGGUAACUGGUCUGAGAGGAUGAUCAGUCACACUGGAACUGAGACACGGUCCAGACUCCUACGGGAGGCAGCAGUGGGGAAUAUUGGACAAUGGGCGCAAGCCUGAUCCAGCCAUGCCGCGUGUGUGAAGAAGGCCUCGG
rnacentral:rRNA from 1 species